CUACGUCCAUAUCAUGUUGAAACACCGGUUCUCGUACAAUCCCCGAAGUUAAGCAACGUCGAGCUUGGUCAGUACCUAGGAAGGGUGACUACUUGGGAAUACCAGUUGCUGUAAG